UUGAGCCGUAUGCGGUGAAAGUCGCACGUACGGUUCUUAGGGGGGCGCUCUUCCGAGAGGAAGGGUGCCUACCCUCC
rnacentral:ncRNA from 2 species